GCCUUCCCCUCGGAUCAGCCGCCACCCCCACCUCCAUUUUUGUGUUGAUCCAACACCCCACCGCAACAUGGCGCCGUCCAAGCAGGCGAGCGGCCACCAGUCGCCGCCUCCAGCGAGUGGCGCGAUGCCACGUCGCCCCCAGACGGCCUCCCCGCGCCACAGCCCGCUGAGCCCAUAGCGCGCCUGCACGAGCCCGACCGCGCCCGCCGCUGCAGCUCCAGCGCCCGACCACCUUCCUCAAUCCUGAUCUGGAUCGCGAGAGGAUCCUGAGCUCUCUGUCUCGCCACGCCGCCGCCGACUCUUGCCGCCUCAACCUCGCCGCCGCACCCGUUCGGCGAUAGGAACCACCGCCGGCGACCACCAAGGCCGGACCCCAUCGCCCGUGCUCCUCCUUCCCCUACCCAUAUUCUUCUCCCUCUCUCCCUCACCCUCUCUCUCCCAUAGGUACACCGCCAUGGGCGGCCGAACCACAAGCUCGCCGAUCUCGACGCCGACGCUGGGAACGGAGAGGCGGCCACCAGAUCCGGCGCCCGUCCCCCGCCUUCUCCUGCAUCCACGCCCCUGGGAUCCCGCCUUGCCAAGCCGCCGCCAUGGUCCUGCUCGAGAUCUAGCAGAACUGCUCGUCCCGCACGCACGCACAGCCGUGGGCCACGCCAUGCCCAAGGCGCAGUAGUGCCAAGGAUGCUUCUAACGCGACACUACAAUCAGAGACCCUUCGACGAAACUAUGUGCGAUGCCAUAAUCGCAAACGGUGAUGUAAAAAAUCAUAAAAAAGAAUGCAAAACAUUUGCGAUGGUGGAUACAUCAAACAUGUCUCAGAAGUUAGAUGCAUGUGCGAUGCGGGGCAUACGGUUCAAUUCAAUGAACUAUUUGCGAUGAGGCAGAAGAACA